rnacentral:sRNA from 1 species
UUUGAACGUCAUGCACAUAGAUCGGAUUUUUCCAGAUGGUCUAGAAAAAGGAAAAACUCG